rnacentral:tRNA from 1 species
AACUAGAGAUUGGGUUCAUGGGCUAUUAGCUCAGGUGGUUAGAGCGCACCCCUGAUAAGGGUGAGGUCCCUGGUUCAAGUCCAGGAUGGCCCAUAAGUGGGGGUAUAGCUCAGUUGGUAGAGCGCCUGCUUUGCAAGCAGGAUGUCAGCGGUUCGAGUCCGCUUAUCUCCAGUGAGAAGCACUUGGCACUGUUUAAACGAACAACUGCUGAGAAAAGUCUCAGUAAGAACCUUGAAAACUGCAUAGAAAAAAAGUAAGUAGGAAGUCUGUAUGAAUAAUCAGAC